AUUGAACGCUGGCGGCAGGCCUAACACAUGCAAGUCGAGCGAGCGGCGGACGGGUGAGUAAUGUAUGGGGACUGCCCGAUCGAGGGGGAUAACUACUGGAAACGGUGGCUACUACCGCAUACGGUCGGAUAACCCAUAUGGGAUUAGCUCGUAGGUAAGGUAAUGGCUGACGUAGGAGACGAUCCCUAGCUGGACUGAUAGGAUGAUCAGCCACACUGGAACUGAGACACGGCCCAGACGCCUACGGAGGCAGCAGUGGGGAAUAUUGCACAAUGGGCGCAAGCCUGAUGCAGCCAUGCCACGCUUAUGAAGAAGGCCCUAGGGUUGUAAAGUACUUUCAGUCGGGAUGCGUUACCGACAGAAGAAGCACCGGCUAACUCCGUGCCAGCAGCCGCGGUAAUAC
rnacentral:rRNA from 1 species